AGACUAUACCUAAUACUUAAAGUAAGCUUAGCUAUGUGAAUGAGGCAUGACAGGAAGUUAACUUGAUUUGUGAUUGUAAUUUCAGUUCUUGGUUUAACAUAGAAAUAGCGGGAAUAAUCAUGAUCUCUUGAAUGAUUGAAAGUGCAAGAGUGCGCUUUGCUGAAAUUCCAAGUAAUGCUGCCGUUUGUUUUGGUUACAAUUUUGAGAGUAAUGGCUUCAGUCUGCUUCUGCCUUAUACAAGCCCAUUGAAUAGCUGAUUCGGUUUCUGUAACUGUGUCGACGCCGAGAAGUCUAGUGCUAUUGAUAUUAAAUAGGCUCUUCAGCCACCUGUUUUCCUUUCUGUCCUGUGUCGUUCUCUUGGUUCGGGACCCAAGAUAACGACACAAGGCAGAUUAUGUAAUGGUCUAGGUUCCCGACAACCACUGACCACGACAUAAAACAGAAAUGACAACAGAUGGUGAAUCAGGGAAGUCCCUGUUUAAAAAAGAAAAAAACAGAAUUUACAGUAACUGGCCGAAUACAAUCCCGGCCAUCGACACAGUCACAGAAACCAAAUCAGCCACACACACCAGGCCUGUACAACACAGAAAUGGGCUGAAAACCUGAGUGCAAAAGGAGCUUCCAUUUACAAAAUGUCCUGAUAUAAACCCCUACCUGCAUCAUCACUCGAGAUGUCAACAAAACACACUCAAGCGCCUUACCAUCAACCAAGAGAUUUUUUAAAGGUUAAAGUAACCUCACAAAUUAUUUACUUCCUAUCAUGCCGAUGACAAGUUAGUCCCAGCCCAUCUCUGCAAUAUGUUUCCAUUUCACACCCCAUAAGACAAAUAACAACUUAA